GCCAAGCCUACUGGAUUCGAGUUCGCCGUAUGGAACGACUGCUAAUACCGGAUGUGCCUACGGGUGAAAGGCUUGCUGCCUGAAGAAGAGCUUGCGUCCGAUUAGCUAGUUGGUGAGGUAAAGGCUUACCAAGGCAUCGAUCGGUAGCUGGUCUGAGAGGAUGACCAGCCACACUGGGACUGAGACAAGGCCCAGACUCCUACGGGAGGCAGCAGUGGGGAAUUUUCCGCAAUGGGCGAAAGCCUGACGGAGCAAUACCGCGUGAGGGAAGAAGGCUCUUGGGUUGUAAACCUCUUUUCUCAGGGAAUAAAAAAAUGAAGGUACCUGAGGAAUAAGCAUCGGCUAACUCCGUGCCAGCAGCCGCGGUAAUACGGAGGAUGCAAGCGUUAUCCGGAAUGAUUGGGCGUAAAGCGUCCGCAGGUGGUACAACAAGUCUAGUGUCAAAGACCGGGGCUUAACUCCGGGAUGGCGGUGGAAACUGUUGAACUAGAGGGUCGUAGGGGUAGAGGGAAUUCCCAGUGUAGCGGUGAAAUGCGUAGAGAUUGGGAAGAACAUCGGUGGCGAAGGCGCUCUACUGGACGGCAACUGACACUCAGGGACGAAAGCUAGGGGAGCGAAAGGGAUUAGAUACCCCC
rnacentral:rRNA from 1 species